GAAACGGGAAGAGCCCAGCGCUGAAUCCUGCGGCCCCGGCGGGCCGCCGGGAAAUGUAGCGUUCGGGAGGAGAGUUAUACAUACACGCGCGGUCAUUAGYCACGGCUGCCUGUCCAAGUUCAUCUUGAACGGGGCCCGCUUACCCGCAGAGGGUGCNAGGCCCGUGGUGACGGUAGCCGGCCGCGACGGUCUCUCUCCCUAGAGUCGGGUUGCUUGAGAGUGCAGCCCUAAGUGGGUGGUAAACUCCAUCUAAGGCUAAAUACUACCACGAGACCGAUAGCGAACAAGUACCGUGAGGGAAAGUUGAAAAGAACUUUGAAGAGAGAGUUAAAGAGUACGUGAAACCGUUCAGGGGUAAACCUGUGGAACUCAAACGAGCGAACGGGGAGAUCAUCGUGUCUUCCGUCGGGGCUCGCGCCUCGUGUCACACCUCCGCCUUCGGCUUUCGGGUCUGGGCGGGGCGGUGCGCGGGUGCGCAGUCGGGCCCCCGGAGCGCGUGCACUUCUCCCUUAGUAUAACACCGCGACCCGUCGCGUCGCGGUCGAAUGCGCCGUGCGGUUGUCCCGCCUCGCUCUGCGAGGCGGAGCCGCGGCGUCCACGGCCGCGACGUACAUUUACGCAGCGACGGUAGAGAACGAGGAUCGCGUCCGCCCCCAGCGGGCGUCCGUCGCUCCGCAGCGGCUCCCUUCGCGUGAUCCCCGGCGCCUCGUGCGUCGCGGGCGUCGCGCGUCGGGCUGUCGUGGUUAGCGGAGCGCUCUCGGACGGGACGCGCCCCGGUCGGCGGUGGUUUUGUUUUGGGCACUCACAGGACCCGUCUUGAAACACGGACCAAGGAGUCUAGCAUGUGCGCGAGUCAUUGGGAACACUGAUAAACCCAGAGGCGAAAUGAAAGUGAAAGGUCGGCCUCGAGCCGGCCGCAGGGAAGAUGCGCGGGCGGCGUCAGCCGCCCCGCCGCAUUCCCGAGGCGUUUCGAGAAAGCCCCCGUGUGAUUAUCGAGACGCACUGAGAGCGUACACGCUGGGACCCGAAAGAUGGUGAACUAUGCCUGGUCAGGUCGAAGUCAGGGGAAACCCUGAUGGAGGACCGAAGCGAUUCUGACGUGCAAAUCGAUCGUCCGAACUGGGUAUAGGGGCGAAAGACUAAUCGAACUAUCUAAUAGCUGGUUCCAUCCGAAGUUUCCCUCAGGAUAGCUGGCGCUCGAGAAACAUGACGGCGUAUUUAUAUGUCGCCAUUCGCACAGUCUCAUCCGGUAAAGCGAAUGAUUAGAGGCAUUGGGGCCGAAAUGGCCUCAACCUAUUCUCAAACUUUAAAUGGGUGAGAUCUCCUUCUUGCUCGAAGAUGAAGUAGGAGCUCGGAUGGGAGUGCCAAGUGGGCCAAUUUUGGUAAGCAGAACUGGCGCUGUGGGAUGAACCAAACGUCGAGUUAAGGCGCCCAAUGAACGCUCAUCGGAUACCAUAAAAGGCGUUGGUCGCUCAGGACAGCAGGACGGUGGCCAUGGAAGUCGGAAUCCGCUAAGGAGUGUGUAACAACUCACCUGCCGAAGCAACCAGCCCUGAAAAUGGAUGGCGCUGUAGCGUUCAGCCUAUACUCGACCGUUGCAGGCAAGUGGGGCGUUCGUGCGGCUCCGGCCGUGGCGAUCGUUUUGAAGCCGCAACGAGUAGGAUGGCCGCGGCGGUGUGCGCAGAAGGGUCUGGGCGUGAGCCCGCCUGGAGCCUCCGUCGGCGCAGAUCUUGGUGGUAGUAGCAAAUACUCAAGCGAGGUCUUUGAGGGCUGA
rnacentral:rRNA from 1 species